CCUACGGGAGGCAGCAGUGGGGAAUAUUGCACAAUGGGGGAAACCCUGAUGCAGCGACGCCGCGUGAAGGAAGAAGUAUUUCGGUAUGUAAACUUCUAUCAGCAGGGAAGAAAAUGACGGUACCUGACUAAGAAGCCCCGGCUAACUACGGGCCAGCAGCCGCGGUAAUACGUAGGGGGCAAGCGUUAUCCGGAUUUACUGGGUGUAAAGGGAGCGUAGGCGGGGAUGCAAGUCAGAAGUGAAAGCCCGGGGAUCAACUCCGGGACUGCUUUUGAAACUGUGUUGCUAGAGUGCAGGAGAGGCAGGUGGAAUUCCUGGUGUAGCGGUGAAAUGCGUAGAUAUUAGGAGGAACACCAGUGGCGAAGGCGGCUUGCUGGACUGCAAAUGACGCUGAGGCGCGAAAGCGUGGGGAGCAAACAGGAUUAGAUACCCCAGUAGUC
rnacentral:rRNA from 1 species